rnacentral:rRNA from 1 species
UACGGAGGAUCCAAGCGUUAUCCGGAAUUACUGGGCGUAAAGAGUUGCGUAGGUGGCAUUGUAUGUCGAUAGUGAAAGCGUGGGGCUCAACCUCAUAAACAUUAUCGAAACUGCAAAGCUAGAGGACGAGAGAGGUUAUUGGAAUUCCCAGUGUAGGAGUGAAAUCCGUAGAUAUUGGGAGGAACACCGAUGGCGUAGGCAGAUAACUGGCUCGUUCCUGACACUAAGGCACGAAAGCGUGGGUAGCAAACGGG